rnacentral:rRNA from 1 species
GGUUAAGCGACUAAGCGUACACGGUGGAUGCCCUGGCAGUCAGAGGCGAUGAAGGACGUGCUAAUCUGCGAAAAGCGUCGGUAAGGUGAUAUGAACCGUUACAGCCGGCGAUGUCCGAAUGGGGAAACCCAGUGCAAUUCGUUGCACUAUCGUUAACUGAAUACAUAGGUUAACGAGGCGAACCGGGGGAACUGAAACAUCUAAGUACCCCGAGGAAAAGAAAUCAACCGAGAUUCCCCCAGUAGCGGCGAGCGAACGGGGAGCAGCCCAGAGUCUGAAUCAGCUUGUGUGUUAGUGGAACGGUCUGGAAAGUCCGACGGUACAGGGUGAUAGUCCCGUACACCAAAAUGCACAGGCUGUGAACUCGAAGAGUAGGGCGGGACACGUGGUAUCCUGUCUGAAUAUGGGGGGACCAUCCUCCAAGGCUAAAUACUCCUGACUGACCGAUAGUGAACCAGUACCGUGAGGGAAAGGCGAAAAGAACCCCGGCGAGGGGAGUGAAAAAGAACCUGAAACCGUGUACGUACAAGCAGUGGGAGCACCUUUAUGGUGUGACUGCGUACCUUUUGUAUAAUGGGUCAGCGACUUAUAUUCUGUAGCAAGGUUAACCGUAUAGGGGAGCCGCAGGGAAACCGAGUCUUAACUGGGCGUUAAGUUGCAGGGUAUAGACCCGAAACCCGGUGAUCUAGCCAUGGGCAGGUUGAAGGUUGGGUAACACUAACUGGAGGACCGAACCGACUAAUGUUGAAAAAUUAGCGGAUGACUUGUGGCUGGGGGUGAAAGGCCAAUCAAACCGGGAGAUAGCUGGUUCUCCCCGAAAGCUAUUUAGGUAGCGCCUCGUGAAUUCAUCUUCGGGGGUAGAGCACUGUUUCGGCUAGGGGGUCAUCCCGACUUACCAACCCGAUGCAAACUACGAAUACCGAAGAAUGUUAUCACGGGAGACACACGGCGGGUGCUAACGUCCGUCGUGAAGAGGGAAACAACCCAGACCGCCAGCUAAGGUCCCAAAGUCACAGUUAAGUGGGAAACGAUGUGGGAAGGCACAGACAGCCAGGAUGUUGGCUUAGAAGCAGCCAUCAUUUAAAGAAAGCGUAAUAGCUCACUGGUCGAGUCGGCCUGCGCGGAAGAUGUAACGGGGCUAAACUGUGCACCGAAGCUGCGGCAGCGACACUAUGUGUUGUUGGGUAGGGGAGCGUUCUGUAAGCCUGCGAAGGUGGCCUGUGAGGGUUGCUGGAGGUAUCAGAAGUGCGAAUGCUGACAUAAGUAACGAUAAUGCGGGUGAAAAGCCCGCACGCCGGAAGACCAAGGGUUCCUGUCCAACGUUAAUCGGGGCAGGGUGAGUCGACCCCUAAGGCGAGGCCGAAAGGCGUAGUCGAUGGGAAACAGGUUAAUAUUCCUGUACUUGGUGUUACUGCGAAGGGGGGACGGAGAAGGCUAUGUUAGCCGGGCGACGGUUGUCCCGGUUUAAGCAUGUAGGCGGAGGUUCCAGGUAAAUCCGGUACCUUUUAACGCUGAGGUGUGAUGACGAGGCACUACGGUGCUGAAGUAACAAAUGCCCUGCUUCCAGGAAAAGCCUCUAAGCAUCAGGUAACAUUGAAUCGUACCCCAAACCGACACAGGUGGUCAGGUAGAGAAUACCAAGGCGCUUGAGAGAACUCGGGUGAAGGAACUAGGCAAAAUGGUGCCGUAACUUCGGGAGAAGGCACGCUGAUAUGUAGGUGAAGCCCCUGCGGGUGGAGCUGAAAUCAGUCGAAGAUACCAGCUGGCUGCAACUGUUUAUUAAAAACACAGCACUGUGCAAACACGAAAGUGGACGUAUACGGUGUGACGCCUGCCCGGUGCCGGAAGGUUAAUUGAUGGGGUUAUCCGUAAGGAGAAGCUCUUGAUCGAAGCCCCGGUAAACGGCGGCCGUAACUAUAACGGUCCUAAGGUAGCGAAAUUCCUUGUCGGGUAAGUUCCGACCUGCACGAAUGGCGUAAUGAUGGCCAGGCUGUCUCCACCCGAGACUCAGUGAAAUUGAACUCGCUGUGAAGAUGCAGUGUACCCGCGGCAAGACGGAAAGACCCCGUGAACCUUUACUAUAGCUUGACACUGAACAUUGAGCCUUGAUGUGUAGGAUAGGUGGGAGGCUUUGAAGCGUGGACGCCAGUCUGCGUGGAGCCAACCUUGAAAUACCACCCUUUAAUGUUUGAUGUUCUAACGUUGGCCCCUGACCGGGGUUGCGGACAGUGUCUGGUGGGUAGUUUGACUGGGGCGGUCUCCUCCCAAAGAGUAACGGAGGAGCACGAAGGUUAGCUAAUCCUGGUCGGACAUCAGGAGGUUAGUGCAAUGGCAUAAGCUAGCUUGACUGCGAGCGUGACGGCGCGAGCAGGUGCGAAAGCAGGUCAUAGUGAUCCGGUGGUUCUGAAUGGAAGGGCCAUCGCUCAACGGAUAAAAGGUACUCCGGGGAUAACAGGCUGAUACCGCCCAAGAGUUCAUAUCGACGGCGGUGUUUGGCACCUCGAUGUCGGCUCAUCACAUCCUGGGGCUGAAGUAGGUCCCAAGGGUAUGGCUGUUCGCCAUUUAAAGUGGUACGCGAGCUGGGUUUAGAACGUCGUGAGACAGUUCGGUCCCUAUCUGCCGUGGGCGCUGGAGAAUUGAGGGGGGCUGCUCCUAGUACGAGAGGACCGGAGUGGACGCAUCACUGGUGUUCGGGUUGUCAUGCCAAUGGCAUUGCCCGGUAGCUAAAUGCGGAAGAGAUAAGUGCUGAAAGCAUCUAAGCACGAAACUUGCCCCGAGAUGAGUUCUCCCUGAGACUUUAAGUCUCCUGAAGGAACGUUAAAGACGAUGACGUUGAUAGGUCGGGUGUGUAAGCGUAGCGAUACGUUGAGCUAACCGAUACUAAUGAACCGUGAGGCUUAACCUU